CGGGAAUAUUGCGCAAUGGAGGAAACUCUGACGCAGUGACGCCGCGUAUAGGAAGAAGGUUUUCGGAUUGUAAACUAUUGUCGUUAGGGAAGAUAAAAGACAGUACCUAAGGAGGAAGCUCCGGCUAACUACGUGCCAGCAGCCGCGGUAAUACGUAGGGAGCAAGCGUUAUCCGGAUUUAUUGGGUGUAAAGGGUGCGUAGACGGGAAAUUAAGUUAGUUGUGAAAGCCCUCGGCUCAACUGAGGAACUGCAACUAAAACUGGUUUUCUUGAGUGCAGGAGAGGUAAGUGGAAUUCCUAGUGUAGCGGUGAAAUGCGUAGAUAUUAGGAGGAACACCAGUGGCGAAGGCGACUUACUGGACUGCAACUGACGUUGAGGCACGAAAGUGUGGGGAGCAAAC
rnacentral:rRNA from 1 species